CCACGGUUUGUGUUCAUCAGCUAUCCUUUAGCUCGAAAAUCUAUCGCCAGUUUUGUACGGCGCGGCUCGGAACGGAACACAAAGGACCUAUUUUUCUCUCCAUGUCCCUGGAUUUCAACCGCUAACUCUGGACAUUUAUACCUGGAUCUCGCAGCUAGCUAGCUGCUAUCCGUGUGACUAUCGGCUUUCGUCGAUUCCGGAGCAAACAUCAAUUAUUCCGUAGCUAGCCAGCUGAAGAGUUCCAUCAAUCACUCCUGGGCUACAAUCACCUAUCCAGACCCGUUUUAUUGCCAACGCGGAGCCCCACCGGGCCUUCACAACUGGACUACCGACGUUAUCUACCUGAAGGAGUUAUCCGGCUGGCUCCUCCGUCUCAACGUUACCUGAACGCCCAUCUGUGGCCCGCUAACCGGUAGCUGUCUUAUCGGCUGCUAUCUGAAUAGACCUAUCAGACAAUUGUUUUUUUUAAAUCUUUUUUUUUUCUUGGGCCUCUAUAACUAUAUCUAUUGUUUUUUUUGUUUUUUUUGUGUUUGAUUUGGAUUCAUCCCCUCUACCACACGGAACCCCAAUAAUCCUACCGACUGAAACCGCACGAGGUGGCUAAUAACAGAACUCCAUCCUAUGCUAGCUUGCUACCGAUGGCCCGGCUAGCUGUCUAAAUCGCCGUGACCCCAACCAACCUCUCUACUCACUGGACCCUUUUGAUCACUCGACUAAGCAUGCCUCUCAUUAAUGUCAAUAUGCCUUGUCCAUUGCUGUUCUGGUUAGUGUUUAUUGGCUUAUUUCACUGUAGAGCCUCUAGUCCUGCUCACCAUACCUUAUCCAACCUAUUAGUUCCACCACCCACACAUGCGAUGACAUCUCCUGGUUUCAAUGAUGUUUCUAGAGACAAUAUCUCUCUCUUCAUCACUCAAUUCCUAGGUUUACCUCCACUGUAUUCACAUCCUACCAUACCUUUGCCUGUACAUUAUACCUUGAAACUAUUUUAUCGCCCCCAGAAACCACCUUUUACUCUCUGUUCCAGACGUUCCAGACAACCAAUUCUUAUUGCUUUUAGCCGUACCCUUAUCCUACUCCUCCUCUGUUCUUCUGGCGAUGUAGAGGUGAAUCCAGGCCCUGCAGUGCCUAGCUCCACUCCUAUUCCCCAGGCGCUCUCUUUUGAUGACUUCUGUAACCGUAAUAGCCUUGGUUUCAUGCAUGUUAACAUUAGAAGACUCCUCCCUAAGUUAGUUCUUUUCACUGCUUUAGCACAC
ensembl:lncRNA